rnacentral:lncRNA from 1 species
GUGAAAUUGGUCUUUAAUAGCCAGCCUAUUAAAAUAAAAGGAAAGACACAGUUGAGCAAUAGCCUGGGCCUACUAAAGGAAGGGCCUACUGUGGGGGAAGGGGAACCCGGCCCUUUCAAAAGGUCAGAUAACGCUGUGAGAUGCAGACUCAGGGCUCCUCUGGCUCUGAGGGAACAGACUUCAGAUCAGUGCUAUGCUCAGCAUCGCCGCUUGCUGCCCAGAUGUUCAGAUGGGUUCACUCUUCCCCAAACUGAAGAAGAGUCCAGGAAAAGCUGGAGAAACAUGCUGGUGGUAAAUUGGCACCUUAAGAGAGAGAGGAGGUCUGGAGGUGCUGCUGGAUGGAGGUCUGUGCAGAUUAAUGAGGUGUGACCUUUAACCCUGCAUACUGUCCCGGCACCAGGAAGCAGCUAAUUAAGCAUGUUCCAUAUCAAGAGCUUCACGCCGCGUGACCAGCAGCCGUACCUCAGCUCCUCGGGGAGGCGGGGGGUCAGCGCCCCUCAUUUGUAGAUCAGGUCUGUGGGAUGCAAGAAGCCGCCGGCCAUCAAGAAU